AUUUCCUGUGUCAGGGUCGCGCAGUGAGCGUUGUGAGUGCCUUGCUGAGAAGCUGCAGUUGUCUAGACCGUGUUUCUUCUCUUUAUUUUUCUUGUUAAACUACUGGUAUUAUUGUGUGAAUUCUACUUGCUGCAUGGUGCACUCGAAGGAUCCUUGGAAACUCUUAAGCCACGCAAUGGUGACGUUGUGGGACGGAGGUGGGGAUGGAAUGGGGUGCGUUUGAGAUGUAAAUGGUGAGAAACAGCCCUGGAGAUCCACAGCCUCCCUGCUGAGCUCGGGACACUGGGGCUGGCCAUUUUCUGUUGCUGCAUCUUCAUCUGUAACUCUGCUCAGGCGCGAAGAGUUCUGGGUCUCCAGCAUAGUGCUAUUCGUGUUUAUUUAUUUAUUUUUUUGAGACAGCGUCUUACUAUGCACUUGUUUUGUUUUGUUUUUUGGUCUUUUUCGUUUUUAUCGGUACCAAGGAUUGAACUCAUGACUGCCUGCUUGCAAGGCAGGCGAUUAUGCCGCUGAACUAAAUUUCCAGCCCCACUAUGCACUUUAGAUUGAUCCUAAACUCACUAUGUAACGUAGAAAUCGCAGCCUCCCAACUGCUGUAAUUACAGUAAUGUUACACCACACCCGGCCAACCCAGGACACACUCUUCGUCGGUCCUGGGCACAGCUUGUUCUCCAGCAGUCUGCCUAGCAGGAACUUGGGAAACAAAGGGGUUUCACGCUCAGCAGUGAAAAAAUCAUCAUUGAAAUUUCUUAAACGAGACCUCUGCUUGUUGUGGUUGCUGCACGAACAGAGCUCGUGCUCUAACAACAUCUUGGAAUGAUUUUCUGAACCAAAAAAUGUGUUGGGUUUUUAGGCGCUGUUGAGAAACAGAGAUAAGGAAAAGCCUUCAUUGCCUGCGCGGGAGGAUUGCAGAAGAUGCCCAGGACCCUGGGACAGUGGAAGCUGGGAAUCUACUUCUAGGCAGUUGGACUCAGGGUGGUGACUGGAUCUCGGUGUCGGGAGAGGAUUGGAGGAGGAUCUUUGGCGCGCCUGCGGAAGAAGAGCAGGACAUUCAUUUGGGAGGCAGUGACCUUGGAGGAUGUAACCGUGAACUUCACCAAGGAGGAGUGGGCUCUGCUGAAUCCAUCCCAAAGGAAGCUCUACAGAGAUGUGAUGAGGGAAACAUUGAUGAAUAUGAAUGCUCUAGGAAGGACUUGGGAAAACCAGCAAAUGGAAGAGGAAUACAGAAAUUGUUCAAAAAAGCUGAGGUAAUUGGCUUUUGUAAGGAAAAGCAGUACUUCUCAAGAGGACAUAAAGAGGUAGCAACAUGGUAUCAAUGCAAAACUUCCAGUGAACAUAAAAACAUAUACCUUUAGACUUCAGAAGUGAAUGUGGACAUGAAUCAAUCUGCUUUAGAGCCAGCCCGAAGUCUCGUUUGUGGAGAGCCCUUUCUUGGGCACUUACCAUUACAUGUGCCCAUCUUAACCUCAUCCUGGAGAGAAACUACAUGAGAAUGUGGGGUUUGAUGAGAAGCUGAGUAAAUGUAAUGAACAUGGAAAACCAUGCAGUGAUUUCCAGUCCUUUCAGAAGCCUGCAAGUACAAAGAAUGGAGAGAAACUCUAUCAACAUGAGUAAUGCAUGAAGUCCUACUCUGAAUUUAGUGAAAGAGCUCACUUUGAAGAGAAGACCAUUGUUGAUCAGGAAAAUGUGAAGGCCUCCAGCACCCCCAGUGGUCUUCUAAUCGCUGAAAGAAUUCAGGCUGGGAAGAAACCAUAUGAUAGCAAGCAAUAUAAAAAUUUAUUCCAGACUCAAAAGUGUAAAAUUCUUGAAAGGAUUCACAUGGAAGAGAAAUGUUAUGUGUGCAAGCAGUGUGGGAAGACAUUCACUACCCACAAAUCUUGUCAACCACAUGAAAGAAAUCACACAGGGGUAAAACCUUAUAUGUGCAAGCACUGUGGGAAAGCAUUCAGUACAAAGUCUUGUUGCAAAGUGCAUGAAAAAACUCACAGUGAGGAGAAACUUUAUGUGUGCAAGCAAUGUGGAAAAGCAUUCACUACACAAAAGUAUUGUCAAAGACAUGAAAGAACUCACACAGGCAAGAAACCUUAUCUGUGCAAGCAAUGUGAGAAGGCAUUCACUACACAUUAUUGUCAACGACAUGAAAGAAGUCACACUGGAGUGAAACCUUACAUGUGCAAGCAUUUUGGAAAGGCAUACACUACACAUGAUAGUUGUCAAAAACAUGAAAGAAUUCACACUGGGGAGAAACUUUAUAUGUGUACACAAUGUGGGAAGACAUUCACUACACAGCGGUAUUGUCAAGAGCAUGAAAGAAAUUGCCCUGGGGAAAAAUAUGUGUGUAAGCAAUGUGGGAAAGCAUUCCAUUCAGACUGUCAUUGUCAGGUACAUGAAAGAACUCACAGUAGGGUGAAACCUUAUGUGUGCCAGCCCUGUGGAAAAGCAUCCAGUACAAAGUCUCAUUUUAAAGGGCAUGAAGAAACUCAGUGAGGAGAAACCUUAUGUGUGCAAGCAAUGUGGAAGAGCAUUCACUAUUAGGAAAGCUUACAAAAGACAUGAAAAAACUCAUACACAGAAGAAACCUUAUGUAUGCAAGAAAUGUGGAAAGGCACUCAUUAAAAACAGUAGUUGUCAAAAGCCUGAAAGAACUCACACUGGGGAGAAACCUUAUGUGUGCAUGCACUGUGGGAAGGCAUUUAGUACACACUGGUAUUAUGAAAUGCAUGAAAGAAUUAACAUAGGGGAGAAACCUUUUGUGUACAAGCAAUGUGGGAAAGAAUUCGCUACACACCAGAUUUGUGAAGUACAUGAAAGAACUCACACUGGGGAAAAACCUUAUGUGUGAAUGUAGUGUGGAAAUGUAUUCACUAAACACCAAUCUUGUCAAAUAAAUGAAGUCACAUAGACAAGAAACCGCAUGCAUAUCAGUCAUUGGGAAAAAGAUUUGCUAGUAAUUUCUCAUUUUGUAUACAUAGAUUUCAUUCUGAAGAGGAACCCUACAUAUAUCAACACUAUAGGGGAAGAAUUUAGUGAGCACAUUUUUUAUCAACUGCAUGAAAGUCACUGGAGUAUGAUCCUAUACUUUUAAGGCUAUUUUGAAAAAGUGGUAAAAAUUCCUCGUGUAGUGGAGACCUGUAUACAUUUAAAUAAAAAUUGGAUGUCAGUAUUUCUUCAUGAAUAUUUCAGAAAAUAUACUCUGAGAUGGAGAUCUUUUGAAAAGCCAAACUCUGUAUCUGUAGUCUUUACCAGAAACAAUGUUUUUUUUUUUUUCUCUGUCUUUUUCAUUUUUAUCAGUACCGAGGAUCGAACUCACGACCACCUGCUUGCAAGGCAGGUGCUUAUGCUGCUGAGCUAAAUCCCCAGCCCCUCAGAAACAAUGUUGACAUAUAUUUUUGUGUAAGCCAAUAGUUGAAUUUAGCAUAUAGUAUUUUCUGAUGAGAU